CUGCUGUGGACAGACGCUGUGCCUCCAGCUAUUUACUCUAUUAAUCGAAGCAUUUACUUCAUUAAUAUGUUUGACGAAGUCAGCCGUCAAGCUCUUCUCUUCCAACUCGAUACCGUUCCACUAUCCCUUCCAUUGCUUCUGUUGAGAAACGUUUACAGUAAUGAAAUUCAGCCAACGAUGCCCACUACAUCCUUUUUGGUGCCUCUUAACUCCUUAUCAAACUCGCUCAUCAUGUAUAUAUUUAGAAGGGUUUCAGAGGCCCGAAAUGAUAAGAAAGGUCGUGCGCCAAUGGGUGUCUGAUAUGCUUUUGUUUGAUGCUGUUGAUUGAUGGGAAGUCAACGCUAAUCCAAAACGUCGAACAAUGUUCCGGUUUAACUCCUUCAAACGACGCUGAGAGAAGGCUCUCUCUAUGAGCUCAGUGUUUUUGAUGUGACAAGAAGCAGCACCAACUUCAGGUUCCGUGGCAGUCCUUUUGCUAUAAGAUUCAACGAACAAACCAUGUAUGUCCAGAUUGCUGAAUACAUGCCUAAAUGUUCCACUUCCAUAUGUCUACUUCAGCAAAUUACAUUCUUAUUGCAGCGUAUCUUGCUUUAACAAACCCAAUAUCGCUAGAUGCCUGAAUGUUUAACUCCUCAGGGGGCCUGGAUAAUCGUAAAAGCAAGCGGAAGCCUCUGAGAAAUCGAUAGAAAAGAAGGUAAUUGCAGAAGCAUGCAAGAAGGGCCUGCAAGCUUUCCACUGGAGAGACUAUUGGCAGAUUCCAGUGCUCGCGUUGUGUCUUGAGGAGAUUAAUAUUCAUUUGGCAAAGAGGAAGAAGAAGAAAAGAAGCUAUGGG